UACGUAGGGCGCAAGCGUUGUCCGGAAUUAUUGGGCGUAAAGAGCUCGUAGGCGUCUGUCGCGUCCGUUGUGAAAACUCGAGGCUCAACCUUGGGCUUGCAGUGGGUACGGGCAGACUAGAGUGCGGUAGGGGUGACUGGAAUUCCUGGUGUAGCGGUGGAAUGCGCAGAUAUCAGGAGGAACACCGAUGGCGAAGGCAGGUCACUGGGCCGCAACUGACGCUGAGGAGCGAAAGCAUGGGGAGCGAACGG
rnacentral:rRNA from 1 species